rnacentral:rRNA from 1 species
GAUGAACGCUGGCGGCGUGCUUAACACAUGCAAGUCGAACGAUGAAGCUGGAGCUUGCUCUGGUGGAUUAGUGGCGAACGGGUGAGUAACACGUGAGCAACCUGCCCCUGACUCUGGGAUAACAGCCGGAAACGGCUGCUAAUACCGGAUAUGCACCAUGAACGCAUGUUCUGUGGUGGGAAAGAUUUUUCGGUUGGGGAUGGGCUCGCGGCCUAUCAGCUUGUUGGUGAGGUAAUGGCUCACCAAGGCGUCGACGGGUAGCCGGCCUGAGAGGGUGACCGGCCACACUGGGACUGAGACACGGCCCAGACUCCUACGGGAGGCAGCAGUGGGGAAUAUUGCACAAUGGGCGAAAGCCUGAUGCAGCAACGCCGCGUGAGGGAUGACGGCCUUCGGGUUGUAAACCUCUUUUAGCAGGGAAGAAGCGAGAGUGACGGUACCUUCAGAAAAAGCGCCGGCUAACUACGUG